UACGUAGGGAGCAAGCGUUGUCCGGAAUCAUUGGGCGUAAAGCGCGCGUAGGCGGCCCCGUAAGUCCGCUGUGAAAGUCAAAGGCUCAACCUUUGAAAGCCGGUGGAUACUGUGGGGCUAGAGUCCGGAAGAGGCGAGUGGAAUUCCCGGUGUAGCGGUGAAAUGCGCAGAUAUCGGGAGGAACACCAAUGGCGAAGGCAGCUCGCUGGGACGUGACUGACGCUGAGACGCGAAAGCGUGGGGAGCAAACAGG
rnacentral:rRNA from 1 species